rnacentral:lncRNA from 1 species
AGGAAAUCGCCAGGAUGACCGAUCGGAAAGGGGAGGUAAUCUGCGAGGUGGGUCUGGCCGUUCCUGCGGCGGCGAGUGGAGCCUUGGCGCACCCUUGCAGGCUGCGGUGGUGUGUCACACAGAGCACAGGGCCUACGGGGAGCAGUGCAAGGGCGACUAGGUGGUCGCCGUGGGGGCUGCCCUCCCGGUGGUGGUGCUGGUAGUGGGCCGGUCCCGUAGGCCGCAGCUAUACUACCAUCUCGAUUGCCUGCCUGUGGUCGCUGUAGUUGUCGCGGCGAGAGUUCAUCUGCGGUCUCAUCCAUCAUGGAGCAAUGCGGGCUGAAAUGCGGCCUGCAGGCGCGGGUGAGAGGGCGGAAGAGGAUCAAGGAUUUGCUGUGGCCGCAACUUGUACAAGGAGGGGGGGCACGGGGCAGGGCGACUUGCCGACUGCUAGACGCUCUGCUUGAUGUUGUUCGUGACCUGGCUGGAAGCACGGAGGAGGGCGAAGAAGGCCCGACUUUUCCUGGGGCCCUGUUGUGCACACGGCCAUUUCUG